GUAAUGCUGACGAGUCUCAAACAGGACGAAACUGCUGUUCAGUAC
rnacentral:hammerhead_ribozyme from 1 species